rnacentral:rRNA from 1 species
CAGCAGCCGCGGUAAUACGAAGGGUGCAAGCGUUACUCGGAGUUACUGGGCGUAAAGCGUGCGUAGGUGGUGGUUUAAGUCCGUUGUGAAAGCCCUGGGCUCAACCUGGGAAUUGCAGUGGAUACUGGGUCACUAGAGUGUGGUAGAGGAUAGUGGAAUUUCCGGUGUAGCAGUGAAAUGCGUAGAGAUCGGAAGGAACAUCUGUGGCGAAGGCGACUAUCUGGGCCAACACUGACACUGAGGCACGAAAGCGUGGGGAGCAAACAGGAUUAGAUACCCCUGUAGUCCCUGUCUCUUAUAC